CUUGUCCACACUUGUAAGUCGCUUUGGAUAAAAGCGUCUGCUAAAUGACUAAAU
rfam:Danio rerio chromosome 5, GRCz11 reference primary assembly.